ensembl:lncRNA
AGCUGGUUGAAUUGUUUUCCGACGGGCUACUUUGUCCGCUAAUAACGCCACGGAUUAUCCGCUGAACCGUUUCCCGUGUGCCAUUUACCACGUCCUGUAAUUACGCUUCGCUCUUUAAGCCCUGACGUCAUUGCCCGCCGCUGAUACUUUCACUGCUCCGCGGCGGGACGCGCCUGUGUGCUGCGCUCAGGAAUUCCACCGGCCAUUUUCGAACGCCGAGGGUCUCGUGAGGGCAAACGGAAGCAGAAACGUUUGAACGUGUCCCUCUGUGGCGGCAGAGUGUAUCUGCUCUCCACCUAAUCCUGGACACAAAGCCCGGCUUAGCAGCACCUUUGUGUUCGUCAGGUAGGCAGGCUCGAGGAACAGGCCUCUGCACGCACGCGGCAGCAACCCUGCCGACACCGAGAACAUCUGCGGAGCCCGGUGGAAUGACGCGAGCACGCCGCGCACACAAACAUGUACGUACGGUUUGCACAUACCGCUGUUCCGUUGUGAGCGAACGCUUGAGGUUACAAUUUGGUUUGGUCUUUCAGCUUGCAGAUGUGCCAAUCUUUAAAAGCACCCGGGGAUGUUCUUUCUGGAAGUUAUGAGGUAUUCAGAGCAGCUCCCACAGAGACAAAAAACAUGCAGAGGAAGUUGCAGCAGCAGCUGCAGAUUCACAGGAUCAACGUCCUAACUUAUCUAAAUUUUUGAUGGCAGAUUUGGUUAAUCUACAAACACUGAAGUGAGUGAAUACGAACGUCUACAAGAGCUUCGUUGUGGUCUAGAACUCUGUUUAAUCACUUUCAUUAUUCUUUUAUCUGUAUGACAUCUUCAGGAAGAAACAAAGACGUCAGAACAUGAAAAAUAUAUGUGAAUAAAACAUUAAAAAAUACUUUCACUGAAGUUCGCUGCAGUCCAAAACCGCUUCCGUCCUCAUGAAUCUCUAUUUCAGGUAACGUCAGACUUUUCUUUUUGACGAUUCUAACCGUGGGAUGUGUUUUUGUGGAGCGUAACACACAUUUGGAUGCUGCCGUUUUCAUUAACGCCGUCGUGGUUCUCUGGAGCUCCCAGGAGCAAACUCAUUUUGGCAGCCUGGCGCUGGAUCAGGCCGACCACCUGUCAUCCUAAUUCUGCACAUGGCCUCUG